AGACUGGCGGGCAGCUCCGCCCGCGGCCGGGAUGCACUAGGCAAAGCCAGCUGGGCUCCUGAGUCCGGUGGGUACUUGGAGAACUUACUACGUCUAGCUGGAGGAUUGUAAAUGCACCAAUCAGCAUGCUGUGUCUAGCUCAAGUGGAAUUCUGUCUUCUGAGGUGUCAAGGACUGAAGUUGCUGCAGACCUGCGUGAAUACAGUCACCAGCAACACCAGUGACAGGCUCAGACGCAUCGGGACCGGACCCGCAGCUUGCGGUCACCAUGGGCUUCACGGGGUUCGGUAAAAAAGCUCGCACAUUUGACUUGGAAGCAAUGUUUGAACAAACUCGAAGAACAGCUGUGGAAAGAAGUUGCAAAACACUGGGGCUGGUGAAUUACCAGAUCUCCGUCAAGUGCAGUAACCAGUUCAAGUUGGAAGUGUGUCUUUUGAAAUCAGAAAACAAAGUCGUGGACAACCAGGCUGGGACCCAGGGCCAGCUGAAGGUGCUGGGUGCCAACCUCUGGUGGCCGUACCUGAUGCACGAACACCCCGCCUACCUGUACUCGUGGGAGGAUGGUGAUUGCUCACACCAAAGCCUUGGACCCCUCCCAGCCUGUGACCUUUGUGACCAACUCCACCUACGCAGCAGACAAGGGGGCUCUGUAUGUGGAUGUGAUCCGUGUGAACAGCUACUACUCUUGGUAUCGCAACUACGGGCACCUGGAGUUGAUUCAGCUGCAGCUGGCCGCCCAGUUUGAGAACUGGUGUAAGACAUCACAAUCCCAUUAUUCAGAGCGUGUAUGGAGUGGAAACGCUUGUAGGGUUUCACCAGGAUCCACCUUGAUGUUCAGUGAAGAGUACCAGAAAAGUCUGCUAGAGCAGUACCAUCUGGGUCUCAAUCAAAAACGCAGAAAAUACGUGGUUGGAGAGCUCAUCUGGAAUUUUGCCGAUUUCAUGACUAACCAGUGCUGAUUCGUCAUUUGCAAAGAUCUGGGAAGCAAUAUUAGCAAAGCAAUCCAUGAGCUU
ensembl:lncRNA GUSBP1 GUSB pseudogene 1